ACUUAAAUUGAAGAGUUUGAUCAUGGCUCAGAUUGAACGCUGGCGGCAGGCCUAACACAUGCAAGUCGAGCGGUAGCACAGAGAGCUUGCUCUCGGGUGACGAGCGGCGGACGGGUGAGUAAUGUCUGGGAAACUGCCUGAUGGAGGGGGAUAACUACUGGAAACGGUAGCUAAUACCGCAUAACGUCGCAAGACCAAAGUGGGGGACCUUCGGGCCUCAUGCCAUCAGAUGUGCCCAGAUGGGAUUAGCUAGUAGGUGGGGUAAUGGCUCACCUAGGCGACGAUCCCUAGCUGGUCUGAGAGGAUGACCAGCCACACUGGAACUGAGACACGGUCCAGACUCCUACGGGAGGCAGCAGUGGGGAAUAUUGCACAAUGGGCGCAAGCCUGAUGCAGCCAUGCCGCGUGUGUGAAGAAGGCCUUCGGGUUGUAAAGCACUUUCAGCGGGGAGGAAGGCGGUGAGGUUAAUAACCUCAUCGAUUGACGUUACCCGCAGAAGAAGCACCGGCUAACUCCGUGCCAGCAGCCGCGGUAAUACGGAGGGUGCAAGCGUUAAUCGGAAUUACUGGGCGUAAAGCGCACGCAGGCGGUCUGUCAAGUCGGAUGUGAAAUCCCCGGGCUCAACCUGGGAACUGCAUUCGAAACUGGCAGGCUAGAGUCUUGUAGAGGGGGGUAGAAUUCCAGGUGUAGCGGUGAAAUGCGUAGAGAUCUGGAGGAAUACCGGUGGCGAAGGCGGCCCCCUGGACAAAGACUGACGCUCAGGUGCGAAAGCGUGGGGAGCAAACAGGAUUAGAUACCCUGGUAGUCCACGCCGUAAACGAUGUCGAUUUGGAGGUUGUGCCCUUGAGGCGUGGCUUCCGGAGCUAACGCGUUAAAUCGACCGCCUGGGGAGUACGGCCGCAAGGUUAAAACUCAAAUGAAUUGACGGGGGCCCGCACAAGCGGUGGAGCAUGUGGUUUAAUUCGAUGCAACGCGAAGAACCUUACCUGGUCUUGACAUCCACAGAACUUAGCAGAGAUGCUUUGGUGCCUUCGGGAACUGUGAGACAGGUGCUGCAUGGCUGUCGUCAGCUCGUGUUGUGAAAUGUUGGGUUAAGUCCCGCAACGAGCGCAACCCUUAUCCUUUGUUGCCAGCGGUUAGGCCGGGAACUCAAAGGAGACUGCCAGUGAUAAACUGGAGGAAGGUGGGGAUGACGUCAAGUCAUCAUGGCCCUUACGACCAGGGCUACACACGUGCUACAAUGGCAUAUACAAAGAGAAGCGACCUCGCGAGAGCAAGCGGACCUCAUAAAGUAUGUCGUAGUCCGGAUUGGAGUCUGCAACUCGACUCCAUGAAGUCGGAAUCGCUAGUAAUCGUAGAUCAGAAUGCUACGGUGAAUACGUUCCCGGGCCUUGUACACACCGCCCGUCACACCAUGGGAGUGGGUUGCAAAAGAAGUAGGUAGCUUAACCUUCGGGAGGGCGCUUACCACUUUGUGAUUCAUGACUGGGGUGAAGUCGUAACAAGGUAACCGUAGGGGAACCUGCGGUUGGAUCACCUCCUUACCUUAAAGAA
rnacentral:rRNA from 1 species